GACGAACGCUGGCGGCGUGCUUAACACAUGCAAGUCGAACGAAGAGCGACGGAAGCUUGCUUCUAUCAAUAUUAGUGGCGAACGGGUGAGUAACGCGUAAUCAACCUGCCCUUCAGAGGGGGACAACAGUUGGAAACGACUGCUAAUACCGCAUACGAUCUAACCUCGGCAUCGAGGAGAGAUGAAAGGUGGCCGCGACAUGUAAGCUAUCACUGAAGGAGGGGAUUGCGUCUGAUUAGCUAGUUGGAGGGGUAACGGCCCACCAAGGCGAUGAUCAGUAGCCGGUCUGCGAGGAUGAACGGCCAAAUUGGGACUGGGACACGGCCCAGACUCCUACGGGAGGCAGCAGUGGGGAAUCUUCCGCAAUGGACGAAAGUCUGACGGAGCAACGCCGCGUGAGUGAUGACGGCCUUCGGGUUGGAAAGCUCUGUUAAUCGGGACGAAAGGCCUUCUUGCGAAUAGUGAGAAGGAUUGACGGUACCGGAAUAGAAAGCCACGGCUAACUACGUG
rnacentral:rRNA from 1 species